rnacentral:rRNA from 1 species
CAUGCAAGUCGAGGGGCAGCGCGGGAGUAGCAAUACUUCUGUCGGCGACCGGCGGAAGGGUGCGUAACGCGUGAGCAACUUGCCCGUGACAGGAGGAUAACCGCUGGAAACGGCGCCUAAUACUCCAUAACAUUAUUUUUCGCAUGGAGAAUAAUUGAAAGUUACGAUGGUCACGGAUGGGCUCGCGUGGCAUUAGCUAGUCGGUGAGGUAACGGCUCACCGAGGCGACGAUGCCUAGGGGUUCUGAGAGGAAGGUCCCCCACACUGGAACUGAGACACGGUCCAGACUCCUACGGGAGGCAGCAGUGAGGAAUAUUGGUCAAUGGGCGCGAGCCUGAACCAGCCAUGCCGCGUGAAGGAAUAAGGCCCUAUGGGUCGCAGACUUCUUUUGUGGUGGAGCAAUAAGGACUACGUGUAGUCUGAUGAGAGUACGUCACGAAUAAGCAUCGGCUAACUCCGUGCCAGCAGCCGCGGUAAUACGGAGGAUGCAAGCGUUAUCCGGAUUUAUUGGGUUUAAAGGGUGCGUAGGCGGAGCGAGCAAGUCAGCGGUGAAAUACCAUUGCUCAACAAUGGGGCUGCCGUUGAUACUGCCGUUCUGGAAUGCGCGUGCCGCGGGAGGAAUGUGUGGUGUAGCGGUGAAAUGCAUAGAUAUCACACAGAACACCGAUUGCGAAGGCAUCUCGCGAACGCGUGAUUGACGCUGAGGCACGAAAGCGUGGGGAUCGAACAGGAUUAGAUACCCUGGUAGUCCACGCAGUAAACGAUGAUGGCUAACCGUCUGGGUUCAUGGAUUCAGUGGCUAAGUGAAAGCGAUAAGCCAUCCACCUGGGGAGUACGACCGCAAGGUUGAAACUCAAAGGAAUUGACGGGGGCCCGCACAAGCGGAGGAACAUGUGGUUUAAUUCGAUGAUACGCGAGGAACCUUACCCGGGCUCGAACGGCUAGUGAACGAUACAGAGAUGUAGAGGUCCUUCGGGACACUAGUCGAGGUGCUGCAUGGUUGUCGUCAGCUCGUGCCGUGAGGUGUCGGCUCAAGUGCCUUAACGAGCGCAACCCUUGCCGUCAGUUACCAUCAAGUAGUGUUGGGGACUCUGGCGGGACUGCCACCGCAAGGUGUGAGGAGGGGGGGGAUGACGUCAAAUCAGCACGGCCCUUACGUCCGGGGCGACACACGUGUUACAAUGGCGGCUACAGAGGGAAGCCACCCAGCGAUGGGGCGCGGAUCUCGAAAGGUCGUCUCAGUUCGGAUCGGAGUCUGCAACCCGACUCCGUGAAGCUGGAUUCGCUAGUAAUCGCGCAUCAGCCAUGGCGCGGUGAAUACGUUCCCGGGCCUUGUACACACCGCCCGUCAAGCCAUGAAAGCCGGGGGCG